CAGUCGCCGCGGUAAUACGUAGGUGGCAAGCGUUGUCCGGAAUUAUUGGGCGUAAAGGGCUCGCAGGCGGUUUCUUAAGUCUGAUGUGAAAGCCCCCGGCUCAACCGGGGAGGGUCAUUGGAAACUGGGAAACUUGAGUGCAGAAGAGGAGAGUGGAAUUCCACGUGUAGCGGUGAAAUGCGUAGAGACGUGGAGGAACACCAGUGGCGAAGGCGACUCUCUGGUCUGUAACUGACGCUGAGGAGCGAGAGCGUGGGGAGCGAACAGGAUUAGAUACCCCCGUAGUCCCUGUCUCUUAUAC
rnacentral:rRNA from 1 species